GACGAACGCUGGCGGCGUGCUUAACACAUGCAAGUCGAACGGUGAAGGAGAGCUUGCUCUCCGGAUCAGUGGCGAACGGGUGAGUAACACGUGGGCAACCUGCCCCAGACUUCGGGAUAACGCUUCGAAAGAGGUGCUAAUACCGGAUACGAACCCAUUGGGCAUCCGUGGAGUCGGAAAGUUUUUCGGUCUGGGAUGGGCCCGCGGCCUAUCAGCUUGUUGGUGAGGUAACGGCCCACCAAGGCGACGACGGGUAGCCGGCCUGAGAGGGCGACCGGCCACACUGGGACUGAGACACGGCCCAGACUCCUACGGGAGGCAGCAGUGGGGAAUAUUGCGCAAUGGGCGAAAGCCUGACGCAGCAACGCCGCGUGAGGGAUGACGGCCUUCGGGUUGUAAACCUCUUUCAGCAGGGAAGAAGCGAAAGUGACGGUACCUGCAGAAGAAGCACCGGCUAACUACGUGCCAGCCGCCGCCGUAACAC
rnacentral:rRNA from 1 species